CUUGCUACUCUGCCGGCGAGCGGCGGACGGGUGAGUAAAGUCUGGGRAUCUGGCUUAUGGAGGGGGAUAACCAUUGGAAACGGUGGCUAAUACCGCAUGAUGUCGCAAGACCAAAGUGGGGGACCUUARGGCCUCACGCCAUGAGAUGAACCCAGAUGAGAUUAGCUAGUAGGUGCGGUAAUGGCGUACCUAGGCGACGAUCUCUAGCUGGUCUGAGAGGAUGACCAGCCACACUGGAACUGAGAGACGGUCCAGACUCCUACGGGAGGCAGCAGUGGGGAAUAUUGCACAAUGGGCGGAAGCCUGAUGCAGCCAUGCCGCGUGUGUGAAGAAGGCCUUAGGGUUGUAAAGCACUUUCAGCGGGGAGGAAGGCGGUAAGAGUAAUAUGCUUAUCRAUUGACGUUACCCGCAAAAGAAGCACCGGCUAACUCCGUGCCAGCAGCCGCGGUAAUACGGAGGGUGCGAGCGUUAAUCGGAAUAACUGGGCGUAAAGRGCAUGUAGGCGGUAAGUUAAGUCAGAUGUGAAAUCCCCGAGCUUAACUUGGGAACGGCAUUUGAGACUGGCUGGCUAGAGUUUUGUAGAGGGGGGUAGAAUUCCAGGUGUAGCGGUGAAAUGCGUA
rnacentral:rRNA from 1 species